rnacentral:rRNA from 1 species
CCCCUAGAUGUUCUGGGCCGCACGCGCGCUACACUGAACAGUUCAACAAGUCUUAACCUUGGCCGCUAGGUCUGGGUAAUCUUUGAACGCUGUUCGUGAUUGGGAUAGACCUUUGCAAUUAUGGGUCUUCAACGAGGAAUUCCUAGUAAACGCAAGUCAUCAGCUUGCAUUGAUUACGUCCCUGCCCUUUGUACACACCGCCCGUCGCACCUACCGAUUGAAUGGUCCGGUGAAAUCUCGGGACGGCGGCUUGGUCGCUUGCGUCCGACUGCUGAAACUUGAUUAAACCAUAUCAUUUAGAGGAAGGUGAAGUCGUAACA